UACGUAGGAGGCGAGCGUUGUCCGGAGUUACUGGGCGUAAAGGGUGCGUAGGCGGUCGGGUAAGUCUGAUGUGAAAUCUCACAGCUUAACUGUGAAACUGCAUUGGAUACUAUCCGGCUAGAGGAAUGGAGGGGAGACUGGAAUACUUGGUGUAGCAGUGAAAUGCGUAGAUAUCAAGUGGAACACCAGUGGCGAAGGCGAGUCUCUGGACAGCAACUGACGCUGAGGCACGAAGGCCAGGGGAGCAAACGGG
rnacentral:rRNA from 1 species